AGGGAUUAUAAUUGAGUUCUCCAAAGAAAAUGAGACGGAACUCAAUGAAACCAGGUGGAGGUAAAGAGCUCUGUAUAAUGGUCACCAUCAGAGGGUGUGAGAUCAACUGGUAAAUACUGGAGUGGAUUUUGAACCUGCAAUGGAGUAUCUGGAUGAGUUCUUGGCUGAUCUACCACAAAUGUCACAUGAUGAAUCUAACAAUGUUGGGGAUAAGGUGGCAGAGAAUAGAAGUGAUAUUAGAUUUUAGGAAGGAUGAGUUGAGAAAAGUUGAGAUGCCAAACGUUUACCCUGAUUCUCAAGUGCAGAGUUGAAGGUGAAUAGUUGAGCUCCAUCUUUAAACUCGCAAGUUUCAAGAUCUGCCCGCGUGGCCCAAUGAAAAAGCCCUACCUUUUUGUCGUCUUCCUGAAUUUCAAAGGUUCAGGUACUCUGUCCUCCCUUCCCAUAAGCCUGUAUGUGACUAUUUCUGGCUAACUAAGAAGGGUAAUCCUACUCUGCAACCUGUAAGGUCCUCCUGUAAUCUAU